CCCCUAGAUGUUCUGGGCCGCACGCGCGCUACACUGAACAGUUCAACAAGUCUUAACCUUGGCCGAUAGGUCUGGGUAAUCUUUGAACGCUGUUCGUGAUUGGGAUAGACCUUUGCAAUUAUGGGUCUUCAACGAGGAAUUCCUAGUAAACGCAAGCCAUCAGCUUGCAUUGAUUACGUCCCUGCCCUUUGUACACACCGCCCGUCGCACCUACCGAUUGAAUGGUCCGGUGAAAUCUCGGGACGGCGGCUUGGUCGCUUGCGUCCGACUGCUGAAACUUGAUUAAACCAUAUCAUUUAGAGGAAGGUGAANUCGUANCA
rnacentral:rRNA from 1 species